CGGUCAAGCCCCGGACUGUUCUAGUGGCGGACGGGUGAGUAACGCGUGGGCAACCUGCCCCGUACCGGGGGAUAACACCUGGAAACAGGUGCUAAUACCGCAUAAUAAGAGGUUCCGCAUGGGGCCUCCUUGAAAACUCCGGUGGUACGGGAUGGACCCGCGUCUGAUUAGCUGGUUGGCGGGGUAACGGCCCACCAAGGCGACGAUCAGUAGCCGGCCUGAGAGGGUGGACGGCCACAUUGGGACUGAGACACGGCCCAGACUCCUACGGGAGGCAGCAG
rnacentral:rRNA from 1 species